rnacentral:rRNA from 1 species
AGAGAGAGGGAGAGGGGUAGAAGAGGUGGAGGCGGGCGGCGGUGCUGGUCCGGCCGCACCACCACGCGGUAGGUGGGUCGCGGCGGUAUAGGAAGAGGAGGGGCUUAGGUAGGUAGAUAGAUAGGUGGUGUGGUGGUGGUGGGUCGCGGUGGUAUUGGAAGUAGGUGGUCGCGCUGUGGUGGGUCGGUGGAGAGGGACGACGGGGGGUAACGAUGAGUACGGGACCUGGUCUGUCUCCCGGCUGCCACAGACUAGGUAGCACGCCCGAGGGAGGUCGGCCGCGCGGGCUCGUCUGUGCGUCGGCGCGCUAGCAAGGGUAGAAGACAACAAUGAGACGAGGGCUGCGGGUAUGACAACGGGGAGAAGGAAGAAGGACACGGGGGACGACGACAAGGAGAGAUGAGGAACGACGAAGAGAAGAAGGGGAUGGAGCGACGAUGAGAAGGAGGGGAUGGUGCGACGACAACAAGGAAGAAAAGGGGUGCUAGACGACGAUGUAGUAGAGGAAGUAACUUCGAAGAUGAUGGGAAGCGAGAACAUUACGGACUACAACAAGAAAUAGAAGGAACGGAACGACGAUGAAGAAGAGACUUGGAGUUAUACGACGGCGAAGAAAAGACAUGGUGUUUUGACGACGGCAAGAGAGAGUUAGAGAGAGAGUGUGAGAGAGAAACUAGAGUUUACAGACAUUAGAACUGUUCACACUACAAGUCAUGAAACAUUACAAGUCUAUACAAUUCACAAGUUCAUUUCAUGAAAACAAAUCAAAAUCUGAACACGGACACACUUUUAAUCAACUUAGAUAAGGGACAUAUGAGACCAACGACAUCUUUGAACAAGUCAAACAUCGUAGACACUAAAUAUAUAUAUUAACACCACGCAUUGUAAAUACAGGAACAGGGUAUUCGAACAAAUAUAGACAAAGAUAUAUAGUUACGAACGGACACAAUCACAGAAUUAAGGAGUUCGUAUUAUUUUUAUAGUUUUUCUGUCACUCAUUUUAGACUUGGACGGAAACGAUAAAACGUAAAAGAAACACCAAAUAGAAGGUCUUGUUAGUAACUAUCAGAUCAAAAUAAAAGACGAAAGUAGAGGGUCAUAGUACAAUGGAUCGAAAUCGGUUCGUAUCGGCGGCUAGCGGAUCAGGGACUCCUCUUGAAGCUGUUGGGUGUCUAACCCGCAUUUUGGGGUGACAUGAAUGUUUUGCUAGUAAAACCGCGGCAACGGCCCCUGAUCGCAGCUCGCCGACACCUGAUCCAAAAAGAACAAAAGAAAAGAAAAACAUCCAAUCUUGACAGAAGAGCCAAUACCGUAUAAUGAGUCUAGUGGUUCCUAUACGCUCGUUGUGAUGUUUGUUGUACCUUUGAUAAGUUCUUAACUAUUCAUUCUAAAGGGUAGUUAAUCUACUAAAUCGAGCCGUCGCUCUUCAUCAAAAACUCCUAUCCGGAUCAACAAUACUAGGAAUAAGCAUCCGUUAGGAAUACAACAAGGAUGUACGGUAUAAACACCAAAAGUCCCGGUAAGAGGACGACUUACAGUCGCACCAAUGAGAGUGGGAGGGUUAACAAUACCGUACUCGAAGCGGGGUGUCUUAUCGAGUAUGGUUUUGUUAAUGAGUAUACCCACCAAAUUUUUGGUCUUAUACAGUAUAUCCUUGUCGUUAGGACUCCAGAGUGGCAAACGAAGAUCAUUAGUAUACGUCCCUAAAUCCAUACUUCUCCUCUCGUUGUUGAUACGUGGUGUUGUUAAAAUAAGUGUAAGAUGAGUACAUGGAGUCGUGGACCUCUACAAAGGUCACCUCAAUUUACCAGGAGGUGAACCAGUUGGUUGUUUAGAUCUUGGACAACUCAUAAGUCACGUUCACGGGUGUGUUCUACUUAAACUACUAGAUCUCUUAGAGUGUGAUGAGUCAGAGCUCAAGUGAACCUCACAGCCUCUACUAGGAUAAUCCUUCCAAUGUGAUCUCCUUUACUUCUUCUAGUUCUCACCUUUUAUAGAUCACCUUCUUCAUUCCUUCUAACUCUUCUUGUAGUUGCAACCGUUGUGAUAAAGAAGUGUCGAUCUCGAUUCAUAAAGACCCUAUAGGGAACUAUGUACACUCCAGGGUUGUGGAAGUGUAAGUCGACUCGUUCUAUCGCUCUCGGGUCUCCUUCUUUCUGGAGUCUAACUUCUUCUUUAUGAGCUUCUGUUCCUUGUUCUACUAGGUCUCGAGCUUGCUGGUUCACUAGUUCAACUUCUGAAUAGUAGAUGAUGAGAACUUCAUCAUUUUCUUCAACUACAUCAACUUCUACUUCUUAAUCUCUAAGUUAACGGGUAGCAGUAUGUCGUUGCACUACAUCGUCCAAGCUCCACUGUAGGGAACCCUAGGGCCACCUCAGUCUCGUACCGUUACUCUUCGUUACCCGUGUGCGCGCUCCUUCCCUCUUCGACCUCGUCCGUACUCUCUUCGUUUUCCUCUUCUCGACGUCAAAUCUCUCACUAGCUCGCUCACGAUGUAGUUACGGGUCACUCGACAAAGUACUGGGGUGAGACUUAUGAUAGUAGGUAACUUUGUACGACUUUGGUAAACUAUAAAACCAACGAACUCGGUAAAGAAUUUACAACAGGGUUACUUAAAAUAAACUGUAUAACACGAACUAUACUUAUACACUUGACUAAGAACUUACGGAACAUUUGAUCACUAGAUGUGUUACGAACGAAACGACUUUCAUCACUUUCGAUAAUCAAAAGUCACGAGUUUAGGGAUCAUGUGAUUAUUUGAAGCAGUAAAAGACGUAAAUGAAACUAUGUGGAUCUAGCAGUUCACAAUCUACGACUUAAACACGGUUCAAACAAGGGUAAGUUUCGUUAGUAAGUGGUGAUACCUAAUCGUACGAUACAAGGGACUUAGCCAUCGUACACUUGGUCUGAACCAACUCACUACUAAGAACAAAAACAAGUAAAGUUUUAACCAUAUAGAAUAUUAGUUAUUAAUAAACUAGAUGGAUUGUCGACGUACAGUACAAGGGACCUAGCUACCGAACACUUUAGACCAACCUAGCUUAUCCUCAAUUAAUAUAAUUUUUUAACGUUAACAGCUGGGU